UGUCAGGACGCUUAUUUUGGGGCACUUCCUGUACAAACUAUUUCAGCGGCAAAGAUUCGACGGGAGUUAGUUAGAAAGAGAGAAGCAAGAAGAAUAACUCCGUUUGGUCAGAAGGUCAAUGAGUUCUUACGGCAUCUUUGGCCUAUGUGGCAUGUUUUGGCAUCAAGGCAUCAAAGCAUCUUGGCAUGUCGACAUAUAGUUGUUGUUGACAUGCUAAUAAAGGCCUGUGGAAAAAGAGCAACUUGUCCGAAGUGAUUGAACUAAGGGUCGCAGUGGACAACACGACAAACUCAACAAAAACAAGGCUGUAUGGUCGAAGGAACUCGUCAAAGUCCACCGUGCCGCUUCCUGCACAGAGACAAGGCGCGCUUCACUAAAAUUUCUGCUUCGUGUUCGUCAGCUCUCAUUUCCAGGAUCGGUGACAAUGUCACGGCUGAGUUGGAAUUAUGCAUUAGUGCUGCGACUUCCUUGGAGAUUUUUGUAUUACCAGCAAGUGUGGCCUACUGUGGUGGGAAAUAUAAUAAUAUAAUAUUUGGCUGAAGACAUCCCAAGGGUAUUUGCCGCCUAUCUCACAAAGUUAACAGAGAAAAACGAAUGGCUGGAUGAAUACACGUGCAACUUAGGGGGAAGAAAAGCAUUGUGCACCAAAGAUUUUUCCCAGAAGAUGCUGUGCAAACCCAUUCUAGAUAAACACUUCCAGGUUGCUGCAGUUCAACAUCAGUGGGAGUUUAAUAUCAAUUCACAGUGCACGUGAAUGCAUAUGAAUUAUCAAGAUGUGUAAAUUUUACAACGUCAAUCAGACAAUCAAAAACUACCCAGCCACUGUCUGAUUUACCAUCUUCAUCCACCUCGUCAAUCAUCUCCUGCAACUCCUCCGGCGUGGGGUUCUGGCCCAGCAUCCUCAUCACCUUGCCCAGCUCCUUGGUGCUGAUGCAGCCGUCUUCUGCAUCUUGCAC